GGCGGGAGGAAUGAUGAUGAGCAUGAGCCCCCCAAGGAUGAACUACUUUUCCCCGCCGUCCGGUGAUUCCAUCGGAAAUUUCGAUCCAUUUACAUUGUGCAAUUUUGCAGAUCAUAGUGAGGCUCAAGAGUUAGAGAAUAGGAAGGGAAUGAUGAUGCGGCCAACUUGUAUAGAAGAAGUUGAUGCUGGCCGUGCCAGUGCCUUGGGACAGAAUCAAAGCCUUGGCAUUUGGCCAGCAGCACAAAACAUGGGAGGUAGGGGUGUUCAAACUCAGCAAAUUUUCUUUUUCCAACUGACAAAGUUCAAUUAAUCGUUUUUUAAGAGAACUUUUUUCUGGUUAAAUUGGUUCGGCUAACCGAUUACACACCCUAAUGCGAGGUUAAAGUUGGUGAUCACUCUGUUAAUAAUUGGCGGGAGGAAUGAUGGCGAGUUCGCCAACCAUGAACUAUUCAUUGACGUCCGAUGAUUUCCAUUACCUAGGAGGGAGUUUUGACCCAUAUAGAUUGCGGGAUAAUGGAGUGUAUAGUGUGGUUCAUGAGUUACAGGAUGUGAAACGAGUAGUGAAGGUGACUUAUUGAUUUCUUGUACUGGGUACUGAGCUUUUCUUCCCCGAGAAAUUUAAUCAGAAUAUGGCUAUAAAGUUAGUUGAGUUUCUUGAAAUCGAAGCAAUAUUGCCGCUGGCGUAUAUACAUGUUCUUUCCUUGGAAAAUAAGUAUUUUGUGGUAGACCUUAAGUAUAUUUUUUCUUAAAAGAGAUUGAGGAGUUAAAGGGUAAUUUUUGCAUUCCGCAAACACUUGCAAGAAUCAAGAUGAGGAGUUUGGAAUGCCUGUGUCAGAAUAUUGUUAUAAACCAGAGGGCCGCCGGGAAGAGGCGGCGUUGCUGUCGAGGGCUCUCGGCGGAGGUAGAGGCGGAAGCAGUCGGCAGAUCCAGAGAGGCAGAGGCGGCGACGGAGGCGGAGGCGGCCACUGGCGAGUUGCAAACGGGCAGCAGCGAGCAGAUUAGGAAGAAGAAAUCAAGGCGUUGGGACUUUGGCAUCACUAGAAGAAGUUGGUACUGCCUCGGAAGAGAUUCAUACUGCUGACAUUUGGCCUGCAGGGAGCCAAAAGCUGAGUUAACUUGGAUGAAAAGUACAGGCCCACAUUCCCGAAUCCAGUGCAACAAAUGAACAAAGAAACAAUGUUGUUGAGUUAAAUAAUAGCAUUGAUGCCAAAGGUGGAAACAGUAGUUCAGACAAAACUGACACUAUCAGCAGGUGGGAGAAAGAUCAUGGAAUUACCCGCAAGGUUCUUCAACAACUGUUUGGUAAGAGUCGUGAUGAUGCUGCUAAAACUCUUAAAGUUAGCACAUCUACAUUCAAGCGAGCAUGUCGGGACUUUGGCAUCAAUAGAUGGCCAAAUCACAAGGGAAAAAGGCCCAAUUGCUCUCUCAACCAAAAACAUGUACAAGCUGUUAAGAAGCAGAAAGGUAUUCAACCAUGUCCUGCUCUUCCUCUUCUAGAAGCCACAAAUACAAGCCAAUGUAACAGCACAAUGUCUGCGAAGGUAACCUAUAAAAAUGAUACCAUAAGGUUUCCACUCUCAUCCUCCUCAACUAUCAAAUAUUUGGAGGAGCAAUUGGAAACAAAGUUCAAAAUAUCACUACAAAAUAUGUCUAUCAAGUAUCAGGAUGAGGAAGAUGAGUGGAUUACCCUGAUGUGUGAUUCGGAAUUGAUGCACGGUUUGGAUGUGUUGAGAUCAUGUGGCAAGACCGUAAUCAAAAUGAUGGUCACCCCCAAAUUUGACUGAUCGAUCUAUGGAAGGACUUCAUUUUGCCCCUCUUCUUUCCCCUACUUACUUCCAUUUCUUCCUUUUGGUGUUGGAACCAUUCUAGGUUUGUUUAGUAACUAGUUUUAUGUGUUUUCUUCCCUUUGUACUCUUUGUAAUGUUAUACGUACAAUAUAAUAUACUCUUGUCCUGACGGGAAGGUUAGAGGUUUGUUAUUUUCUAAUUUCAUAUUUUUGGGUGGUACUGGU